UACAUGGGGUGCAAACGUUGCUCGGAAUUAUUGGGCGUAAAGCGCACGUAGGCGGCUUUCUAAGUCAGGGGUGAAAUCCUGGAGCUCAACUCCAGAACUGCCUUUGAUACUGGAGAGCUUGAGUCCGGGAGAGGUGAGUGGAACUCCGAGUGUAGAGGUGAAAUUCGUAGAUAUUCGGAAGAACACCAGUGGCGAAGGCGGCUCACUGGCCCGGUACUGACGCUGAGGUGCGAAAGCGUGGGGAGCAAACAGG
rnacentral:rRNA from 1 species